AUGGGCAGUAAAAUGCUGGUGAAAAUGCUUUCAUCAGGCAUUGAGAAAAGGAAUAUAAUGAAACAUCUGCUGAUCCUUUCUUGCUUUAUCCUAGCCUGGAGCAAAGAACAAAGAAGCCAAACCAUUGCAACCACAAAGGCCUGGCGGGAUGCUGGACUUGUCCUGUCCACGACGAGCAAUGAAGCCUGUAAGCUCUUCGAUGCUGCGCUGACACAGUAUGCAACCUGGACCAAUAAUGAGAGCCUUGGAGGUAUUGAGGGAUGCCUCUCCAAGUUAAAAGCAGCGGAUCCAAAUUUUACAAUGGGCCAUGUCAUCGCUAAUGGUCUGGAGCUGGUUGGCACUGGAAGCUCCGUGCGACUCGACAAAGAGCUGGACCGUGCCAUGAGAACGAUGGUGGCACUUUCCGAGUCCCAGCCACUGACUGAGCGGGAGAAGCUUCACGUGUCAGCGCUGGACAUGUUUGCCAGGGGCCAGCUUCCAGAAGCUUGUGAUCUGUGGGAACAGAUUCUGCAGAGACACCCAACUGACCUGCUAGCCCUCAAAUUUUCCCACGACACUUAUUUCUACCUGGGAUAUCAGGUACAGAUGCGAGAUUCUGUUGCCCGGGUUUAUCCUUUCUGGACACCUGAUGUUCCACUGAGCAGCUAUGUGAAAGGCUACUACUCUUUUGGACUCGUGGAAACAAACUUUUUUGACCGUGCUGAGGAGGUUGCCCGUGAGGCUUUGGCUGUAAAUCAGACAGAUGCAUGGUCUGUCCAUACUAUAGCUCAUGUAAAUGAAAUGAAAGCAGAUGUGAAGAAAGGCUUAGAAUUUAUGAAGGAAACAGAAACCAACUGGAAGAACAGUGAUAUGCUUGCUUGCCACAAUUACUGGCACUGGGCUUUAUACUUCAUUGAAAAGGGUGAAUAUGAAGCUGCUUUGACAAUUUAUGACAAUCAUAUUGCUCCGCGGUGCCUGGCGAGUGGAAGCAUGCUGGAUGUGGUCGAUAACUGUUCCAUGCUGUACCGGCUCCAUCUGGAAGGUGUAAAGCUUGGAGACAGGUGGAAGGAUGUUCUCGCGCUCACGAAGAAGCACACCGAAGAUCACAUUCUUCUGUUCAAUGAUGUGCACUUCUUGAUGUCUUCACUUGGAGCCAAGGACCACAAAACUACCCAGGAGCUUUUAACAACUCUUCAGGAACUUGCCAAAGCACCUUGUGAAGACCACCAGCUUUCCCUGGCUCCUAGUUUGGGGUUGCCACUGUGCCAGGCUUUUGUGGAGUUCGAAAAUGGAAAUUGUGACAAAGCUGUAGACCUGCUGUACCCAAUCCGUUAUCAACUAAUCCAACUGGGAGGCAGUAAUGCCCAGAGAGAUGUUUUCAGCCAGUUAUUGAUUCAUGCUGCUUUAAAUUCUAAAUCACAGGCCAAACGAAACCUUGCAAGGUGCCUCCUGAGAGAACGUGAUGUGGUGAGACCCAAUUCACCAAUGACAGAGCGACUUAUCAGGAAGGCGGCAGCUAUCCAUUCCAUGGCAUAAGGCUUUCCUCCGUGCUUCAGGGUCCUACUGAUGCUGCUUUAAGGUCUCCUGUUCCUCCCCACCCUGACUCUCAGUGCAGUGGAGGCAGCGCUAACCAUGGAGCCUCCGUGCUUCUGCGGUGGCUGAAAGCUACAGGCAGCUUGUUCUUCGUGCCAACACCCUGAGCUCCUGCCCCUGGGGGAGAUCAGCGCCGCUGAGGAGACCGGGCCAGGAGAGAAACCGAGCCUGCUUCCACCACUGCAGACCUCACUGAUUUAGGCCAGAGUCAAACUAAGCUAUGAACAGGGUCAAAAGAGGAAUCACAACAAAAGGCUCAACUAGUACUUCCCAUCUGCCUCCAGACAUCCACUAUUCCACUGCCUCCAGACAUCCCUCGGGUUUUCAGACGCUGUUGAAGUGGACAAGACAGUAAUAUUCUUCAGAAAACGAUCAGCUACAAACUCUUUAUUUCUGCCAUUCCUGGAGGCCAAGGUCUGUGCUCAGAUCUGUGAUGUAUGCGACAGUACUGGAGGAUAUAGAGAUCUCCUUUCCUAGGUUUCCAAUCCAAAGUUCAUUUACCAACAGCCACGACAGCAUUACUGGACAGCCUGUUAAUGGUUUGCAGGGUCUGGUCUCAGUCCAGCUUCUAGUGAAGAAAUACAUGCUUCAUAAAAGCCCUUUGCUUAACUGGUCCACUAAGUAACCAAGAUAGGUUAGUGUCUCAUCAGAGGACCUGGCCAUCCAAGGAAAAAGACUGCAUCUUAUCUGAGAGAGCAAAGCAACCCCUGCACGUCCAAGGAAGCAGGGCAAUGAUUCAAAGAGAGGCAAGUACUUCCCGUCUAUCUUAAGGACUGUGUAUACAUGUUCGAUCUGUGGAGAAGCCAUGGAUAACUCCAAAAGGCAGUUCCCUUCCCUCCAGCCUGUCAGCAUUUUAUCACAUCUGUUAUGAACAUCUGUAGCUUUGCUGCCUUACCUGACACUGUAAAAUUCAAGCACAAGGAUUCACUUAAUUAAUCCUGCUGAGUAAAGGGGAGUGGGGGAGAGGCUCCACAUACUCCUGCAGAAGUGACUCAAAGCACAGGAUAUGAACUCACCUGCUCUCCAUAUUCAGUCCAUUGGCCUUCGUUAUUCUUCCAGUACCAAAUCCACUGUGUGGUCAGUACGAAUGUGGGUUUUGUGACUGAUGACGGUGUAGAGAGGCGUCGAACCGGACAAGAAGAGCAGGUCAUUGUCUGGAAGUUAAUGUUCCUGCUUGCUAUGCUGUAAGGACAAAUUCAGGGUUUUUACAGUUAACAGUAGAUCUUUUAUCCUCUAAUCCUCUGUUUAGGCUUGUGCAAUUUUCUUUAAUAUAAUGUGACUGAACUUGAUUAGGCCUGAAUAAAGAGUAUUUUCCACAGCACAUGACAGCUCUGAAAACCAUAUCCAAGCUUCAUAAGCAAACUAUGGCCUGUGAGACAUGGAAUGCCAUCUCAGUCACUGGCCACAUGUGGCACUGCCAGCUUUACAGACAGCACGGGACUACAAGUACCGCAUGGCAAAAGGUACUCUGCAAUAAGGAAAGUUUCCAGUUUGUCUCAGUGCAAAACCAGAAUUUUGUAGGUACACGCAGCUUAUCAACUUGGUUCUUUUCCUGUGGUUACAAAGGAUGCAGUCACAACCAUCACAGCUGUGAGGUCUGCAAACUGUAUUCGUCACUGGAGCUCUGGGCUCUUACUCCUGUGAGGCUUGAGAAGUUAACUCCCAGGCAGGAAGGCUUUGAAAGCAGCCUCCUCUUGUGAAUCUUGCUUGUGAUCUGCACCAUCCAGCAAGAUGCAGUUCAAAGUCAUCUGUUGCCUUAAGAGGCAUGGGCUAAAAUUACUAUACAUUUUUCGAAGCCAGACUUGGGGUCCCCUAUGAAUCCAGGUGGCACAGUGGGGCUUUUCAGAAAGGACUUAAAAUAGAAAGAAAAACAGGAAAAAAAAGAGAUAUGCUGCUUACACAAGGGCCAUCUCAUAAAAUAUCUCUAGGCAUACAACAGAUAUUGCUAUUAUUAUUAUUAUUGUUGUUGUUAUUUUUAUGACGCAUACUAGCUGUAGUAGGAAAAGAACAGCCAUAGAGAAGGACCAGCUCUGAUAUGUUGUUACAAGGCCCAACUUCAUUACUGUAAAUAAAUUAUGAUUCAUUAUCUGAAAUGCUGAUAUUCUAAACACUGUAUUCCACUUGCUUUUUACCCUGCACAGAGCUUUAAAUGUAAGAUACAGUUUUGUUCUUUUUAGAAGACAUAAAUGGGGUGAUAUUGCCAUGCAAUCACUUUUACUUUGCUUUUUAAAAGGAAAAAUUCUCAUUUGUACAUCCUCCCAGAUUCUGAGAGGCUCAGUAGCCAGAAGUUAUGGAAGUCAGACAUCUUUGGAAGAAAAUGGGAGUUUUUCCACAGGGGUUCAAUCACAGUACUCCAAGCAAGGAGUCCAGCAUCACUAUACCUGCUGUUUUUUGGGUCACAAUAGGCCUUUUCAAUUUCCUCCAUCAUGGAAAGGUCUUUCCAGGUGAUCCCAUCAUAUAUCUCCCAUUUAUAUGGCAAAUGGUAAUGAACAGAUUUGCAUUUAUCUGUAAUAAGACCAGACAUAGUCGAAUUCUGUAAUCAUAACACAGAGAGCAAACCAACAAAACCCAAAAAGGAACCAGCAGAUUUUACACCUUGAGGCUUUCUCCCUGGGCUUUGGUAUGAGCAAUGAAGACAGAGUGCUGAAAACAGGAGGGGGGGGUGUUUCUCCAGUGAGUGAGAAGGCACAAUUGCCACUGACACUCCAUAUGCCACCACUAGCCCGAGCCACUGAGCAGGGACUGUCUCUGCAGUCACUGUCUCCAGUGACUACAUUACUUUUUAUAGAGCUUACCCUUAUGUUUGCAGUACUUCCAGACAUAGAACACACAGAUCUCAUCACAGUUAACUUCUUUGUUGUCCUUUGAAGCUUCAGCAGAGGAAUCGUCCUUUUUAUCUACAGGAAAGAACAUAUCAGUCCUUAUUUGCUUCAAGAGAAAGACACUGCUUGGUACUUCAUCCCAGAAAUAACAAAGAUUUGACUGCAGUAGCCAAGUUAAGCACUUUCAGGAUCUGACUAUCCCCCAUACAGCCCACCACACGAGUCAGGGCUUUGUGACUGACCAAUAAACCCUGACACUAGAAGAAGUCUCAGUGGAGAAGCACAAGGGCAGUGUCAGGAAGAGUAGUAACACAGGCUGUGGCUGACCAUGGUUCUUGCAAAGCAGCCAACUUUGUCUCCACACCACGGGAAGCAGAGGGUGGAUAAAUGGCUGUGUCAGCUCAGCGGAUCAAUGCAGGGUAGAAAUGUUUCUCCCUGAGUUGGCCAGACCAGCAUGGGGGGAGUUCAGCCCAACACGGAGGUACUAAACCUAAAGAACUAACAAAAGAAUUCUCAAGACAGCAACAGGCUUCAGCUGGCUUCAACCCUUCCCAGAGACUGGGGACACCCAGCUUUGUGACAAUGAGCAUAUUAUACAGACUUGUAAUGGGAGUGCCAUUAGCAUUGUGAUUGAACUGUGCAUUGCAACUGCUACAUUUUGGUAAGUAAACAUUUAUAUUUUGGGUUUUGUUUCCAGUGGAAACUCUACUAUAUCAGAAAUGUCUCUGUACUGGACUUGGCUAGGAUAAGAUGUAAUUUUCUUCAUAGCAGCUCAUAUGAUGCUGUGUUUUAGAUUUUUGACCCAAACAAUGCUGCUAACACCCUAUUAAGCCCUUGCUUUUCCUGAACAGUGAUACACAGCAUCAAGGCCGCCUCUGUUUUUCACCCUGCCCCCAAAGUGAAUAGACUUGGGGGUGCACAGUAGGUUGGGAGGGGACACAACUGGGCAGAGAACCCAAACUCACCAAAUAUUGCAUACCAUAUAGCAUAAUGGUCAGCAAUAAAGGGAAAAGAGGGAGUUUUAUGAGGGUUAGCUAUCUUUUGCUCAGGAACUGGCUAGGCAUGUGUGGGAGGUGGUGUGUGACUGCCUUUGCAUCACUGCUUUUGCUUUGUUUUCUUCUUCUGCUUAUCCAUUGGGAUUCUUCUCUCUCUCCCAUCUUGACCCUUAAGCUUUCUUGUUUUUAUUCUUUCUUUUCUCUUCCCCAUCCCACUGGGGGUCGAGGGGAAGUGAGUAAGUGGCUCUGUGGUGCUCACUGAGGCUUGUCCACAACACCUGCGUAACACCAACUGUCUUCAAAAAAGCUCAAGACUGGAGGGUUAGAAACAAUCCGUACCUUCAUCUUUACCUCCAGCUCCUGUUGGCAACUGCUGUUGUCUCUGACCAGGCAGGGUGCUACCAGGACCUGCAUGAGAAGACUGAAUGAACAGCACUGCUGGGACAGAAGCUCAGCGAGCUGGCAAUAUCCCAAUCUGUGUGGAGAACUAUGUCCAUCACACAUAAUUUGAUAUUAAACAUUACACCAUCCAUAUGUGGAAUAUCUAAAAGAACCUGUUCAGAGAGUACUGGACUCUGGCAGGCUUUAAAGCCAAGGCCCAGGACAGGAGACAUAUAAGUUGCUAUUCACUCACUGGAAGGUAUAUAAACAUAACUGCUCUACUGACAAAGCUAUAUUUACUCCCUAGGUACAGAAGGCAAAGAAAGAUAUCUGUCUCCUUCCCAGGAAGGAAGAAUUGUGUCCAGGACAGUACAGACAUCAGUCCCAGGCUACUCCUCGUGGUGGUGCUUGGGCAGAAAUGCCAGUGCUGCUCUGCUGUCCAGCACUGUGGCUCUCAGCAUACCGUAAGACCUUCAUGCACCAAAAUGUGCAGGCCUAGGAAGACUGGAAAAGGAAAUGGGACCUUGCUUCCUAGUCUCUAUCAUUUCUUGGAGAAGAAGCAACAAACUGGGUUUUUGGUCAUUAUACCUCUUAUCCUGUAAGCAUUACAAUUAUUGUGGUCUUUCAGUUGUAUCUGGUAAACCUCUAAUGAAGCUGCUGACAUUUUUAUUUGCUUGUUUUGAGUAACUUUAUGGCCUUUAUAUUGUUUCUUCUGAUGCUUUCACACAUAGCCAUCCCCAUUCCUACUUCAUUCAGAAUAAUCCUGUUACAUUUUAACAGGUUGACACUGAGAUCAGAACUCCACAUUCUCUGUUACCCUCUCCCAUUCCUGGUGAACAAAAAGCUUCUUUUAAGACAUCAGUACAACUCACAUCAGGGAGGAAGAAAGCGUCGUUUUGGAGAAGCAAGAUUCGCAGCUCAUCCUCACUGAGGCCAGACAAAUCAUGUUUUUUUAGAACUUUUCUGUUCUCAGCACUGGUGAUGUCAUGCGAGUACUUACAGGAGCUGGAAGAAAACAGACAGACAUAUCAAUGUUUACUCCAUGAGUCAGGCUGAUUUAAAGAAGAACCUCAGAAAACGUGCAACUUCGGAAAAGCCAUGAGAGAAAGGGGACUUGGCAAAAGUCUCUGUAAACAUUUAGGUGGUCUCUGCAAUUAGCCAGAGAACAGACCAGACAGCAUAACUCCUCUGUGAAAUGCAGGAGCAUUAUCAUCCCCAUUUUAAACACCGACGUGGCCACAACACUUUAAAAAAACUUAGCAGCACAAAUUUGAAGCCAAGUCUGUCUAUCCCACACAUUCUUCACCUCCAGUAAAAUACAAGUCACUGUCACAUGAUCUGAACAGCUGGAGGGAAAGUUAAUUUUAGAGCAAUACACCAACAACACCGGAGGUUGCAAAACCCUUGAUUCUGUGAAUGUAAAAGGUUGUUGUCCCAGGGAUGGCAUGUAAGGAAAGAUGCAAGAGUCUAAGAGAGCAAAACAAAGAGAUAAUGAAGCUGAAAACAACACAAUUUGUUAUCUUUGCUGGCUGGAAAGUUUGAUUUUUUAAAACAAAACAAACAAGCAAAAAAAAAGAAAACCAAAAACAACAAACCAAAAUGAAACAAGAAAAUACAGCUUCUUCAUGUCCUGCUCUCUAACAGGUGAUUUGAUGCAGUCUUAAGACUAGACAUACUCAUCCAGCAAAAGUAUCUGUUAAUCUGACUCCAGAGUCAAGUCUAUGAUCUUUCAGCCUCUAGUUAACUCUUGAAACUCACCUUGUGAAAGGUUUUUUACCUCAGGCUAUGUCUGAUCCAAUCCUUCUGUACAGACACUUGAGUAGAUAUUUCUCCCCUGACCCCUGCUACCUGUUGGACACAUUGCUUUGUAAGCAAAUAAACAAGGUUGCAAAGUCUGAAGGGCAGAAGUGUGCCAUCUUUGAUGCUGAGAAACAGUCUUCUAGGGCUAUUAGGUGCUGUAGGCACUCAAUACAUGGCUGUGAAGGUAGGUAAGCCACAGAGUACUUGAGGCGUGAGCCAUCACCAGUGUUCCUCCACAGUCGACUUCAGAUUCCCCCGACAGUCACACAGUGAGUCCAUAUUUCCAAGUCAAAGGUUAAAACACUCCACAAAUACAAUGAUAACUAAACAACUGAGUUCAAUAACACAUUCAGGAAAGAAAAACAAAACAAUGAAAAGCUACUUGUGAGACAGUUAAAAACAAGGUUAACUGGACUAAAAUUGUGAUUCCACUAAAUACGAGACCACAGUAACUUGUACAGACGUUUUUCUUUCCAGGGAUUCUAAAACAAAAGGGAUGCAAAGUCUGGAAGCAAAGCUAGAUUUUACCUUAUCAGUUAGAAAAUAGUCUCUCUCUUGAUCUAUUUGGUCCACCUAGCAGUGUUUCUGUCCCCUCAUUUUAAUCAACCUCCCUCCGAUGAAAGGCAUACUCUUUGCUUUAUUAAUUUUUAACACAUACUAAGGUGAUUUUAAAUACUUAGUGCUAUUGAGAGGACAGAGUGGUUUAUCAUUACUAAGGGAAUCACCUCAUUGCACGUUUUAAUUCACAGAGUCAUCCAGCAUGAGUGCCUACACGCACCUGAAGGCAUUUCUAACAGUGAAUCCCAGGGAAGCUCAUCGUUCUGUCAGUAAUACAACAAACAGUAAGAAAAUCUUAGUAUCCUUGUGGUUUGCUAGUGCACUCUGAGAGACACAGCCUUUCCCCUCCAAGCUCUUCAGAUCCGAGCACACAUCUGUUUUACUGGGGGAAGGAUCCGGUGGGGUACCAGCAGGUUAGUAACACUGCAACAGUACAAGACCUGGGGCUUGAGGGCUUAAACUGCAAAUUCUUCCAUCAGAGCUCACUGUUGCCACUGAUUGUCACGGGAAAGCCUCUGGGUUGUUUUCUUCUGUAUUUACUUUCGUUUUCCUUUAUCUUAAUGUUUUUAAAGUAGGUACCACCUUUGCCUGCCCUGCCCUUCCCUGGAGUCCUCCGUAUUCCGGAAGCCGGGAUUGAUGUACAUGGGCGAUCGAGCAGUGCCUCUCCCAGAAAAGUCUGUAAGCGAAGCGCCAGUUCCAAUGAAAACAUGCGUUUCUGCAUUAAUCCACUUAGAAAUCUGAACUAAUGGUCUGAGGAGCUUUGCUGGAUACUUGGAACAGUAUCAUCAGCACAGAGCAGGAAAGUAAAGCAGAAGGAAGCUGCAAAUGCAGUCAUGGCAAGCAUGUUCUAUUCUCCACUUAAAUACAUUCAAGAAGGGUUUUGGUUCAGGCCUGAGUGAAAACAAAGAAACAUUGGUGGAUUUAUCCUGUUUGUGGGUAUGUUUUGCAAAUAUAAAUGCUCCAAUACUUGACUUCCU